rnacentral:rRNA from 1 species
UACAGAGGGUGCGAGCGUUAAUCGGAAUUACUGGGCGUAAAGCGCACGUAGGCGGCUUGGUAUGUCGGGUGUGAAAUCCCCGGGCUCAACCUGGGAACUGCAUCCGAAACUGCCUUGCUCGAGUAUGGGAGAGGGAAGUGGAAUUUCCGGUGUAGCGGUGAAAUGCGUAGAUAUCGGGAAGAACACCCGUGGCGAAGGCGGUUCUCUGGGACGGUACUGACGCUGAGACGCGAAAGCGUGGGGAGCGAACAGG